GUAAACUAUUAUUGCAGGCUGGAAAGCUGGAGACCCAUGUUAUGAUGUCACAAACUAUUUAUUAAACCUGUUGCUGCAAUGAUUUAAAAGCUCCUGUUCCAGAAGGCAUCCAGGUUCCAAGUGGAGAAUGUUGAGGCUCAGGCUACAUGAGGCAGAGGAAGACUUCAAGGGCAGUAUCACUGGAUCUUCAUGUCUCAGGGCAAACCGUUAAUUAGAAUACGUCAGAAGAAUCAGCAGACAAAGCUAGAAUGUGGAUAUCAACCACCCAAAAAGGCCAAGGACCCUGGACGAUAAUCUCAAACUCUCCAGACUAAUUUUCUUCCCAAGGCCUCGUAGGAUGUUUCCCACCGAAAGCUCAGUGCACAAUACUAUCUGUUACACAUGGAUACCAGCAAUAAUACACGAGGGGCUCCCGCAUAAGAGGCAGCAAGCUCUGUGCUCAUCUGCGUUCUGAGUCUCACCCUGCAAUGGAGUUUCUGCUCACGCCAUAGCCACCAUCAUCAGCAAUUAGAACAAAAGUAUUAUGUUUGUAAUAUUUGAUCCUCUGUAUUUUACCCAUGCAAUGUGAUGUUUGUCAUCUAGUGCCAUAUGAAUA